UAUGAAGGUCAGGCUGAAGACCUUACCCGAUUAGCUGAGAGGUGGUGCAUGGCCGUCGUCAGUUCGUACCGUGAAGCAUCCUGUUAAGUCAGGCAACGAGCGAGACCCACGUCCACAGUUGCCAGCAUACCCUCCGGGGUGAUAGGUACACUGUGGAGACCGCCGCUGCUAAAGCGGAGGAAGGAGUGGGCAACGGUAGGUCAGUAUGCCCCGAAUCUCCCGGGCUACACGCGGGCUACAAUGGUUGGUACAAUGGGCAUCUACCCCGAAAGGGGAAGGAAAAUCUCUUAAAGCCAAUCGUAGUUCGGAUUGAGGGCUGCAACUCGCCCUCAUGAAGCUGGAAUCCGUAGUAAUCGCGUUUCAACAGAACGCGGUGAAUACGUCCCUGCUCCUU
rnacentral:rRNA from 1 species